CAACUAUCAACAACGGAUCUCUUGGCAUCCCACUCGAUGAAAACGCACGAAUUGCGAUAAGUAAUGUGAAUUGCAGAAUUCAGUGAAUCAUCGAAUCUUUGAACGCACCUUGCACCUUCCAGUCCUCUGGAGGGUAUGCCCGGUUGAGUAUUAUG
rnacentral:rRNA from 1 species